rnacentral:rRNA from 1 species
GAUGAACGCUAGCGAUAGGCUUAACACAUGCAAGUCGAGGGGCAGCAUGGUCUUAGCUUGCUAAGACUGAUGGCGACCGGCGCACGGGUGCGUAACGCGUAUGCAACUUGCCUCACAGAGGGGGAUAACCCGUCGAAAGACGGACUAAUACCGCGUACACUUACAGGAGGGCAUCCUUCAGUAAGGAAAUGAAUUUCGCUGUGAGAUAGGCAUGCGUCCCAUUAGCUAGUUGGUGAGGUAACGGCUCACCAAGGCAACGAUGGGUAGGGGAACUGAGAGGUUGAACCCCCACACUGGUACUGAGACACGGACCAGACUCCUACGGGAGGCAGCAGUGAGGAAUAUUGGUCAAUGGGCGAGAGCCUGAACCAGCCAAGUCGCGUGAAGGAUGACUGUCUUAUGGAUUGUAAACUUCUUUUGUAGGGGAAUAAAGAGGGGCACGUGUGCCUCAGUGAAU